AUGUGGUCAAGUUAAUAAGGGCUAAUGGUGGAUACCUAGGCACACAGAGGCGAUGAAGGACGUGGUUACCGACGAAAUGUUCCGGGGAGUUGGAAGCAAACUUUGAGCCGGAAAUGUCCGAAUGGGGCAACCCUAUGUACUACCUGUUGAAUAUAUAGACAGGAAAGAGCCAACCCAGCGAACUGAAACAUCUUAGUAGCUGGAGGAAGAGAAAUCAAACUAGAGAUUCCCUCAGUAGUGGUGAGCGAAAGGGGAAGAGCCUAAACCAGAGGAUUUAUCUUCUGGGGUCGUGGGACAGCGAGAUCGAAUCUAGAGACUAAACGAAACAGCUAAAUACUGUACCAGAGGGGGUGAAAGUCCCGUAGUUGAAAGUCAAAGGAUAGUAGCUGAAUCCCGAGUAGCAUGGAGCACGAGGAAUUCCAUGUGAAUCAGCGAGGACCACCUCGUAAGGCUAAAUACUACUGUGUGACCGAUAGUGAACAAGUACCGCGAGGGAAAGGUGAAAAGAACCCCGGAAGGGGAGUGAAAUAGAACAUGAAACCAUAAGCUUACAAGCAGUGGGAGUCCGAUUUAACGGAUGACCGCGUGCCUGUUGAAGAAUGAGCCGGCGACUUAUAGGCACUGGUAGGUUAAAGCGAGAAUGCUGGAGCCAAAGGGAAACCGAGUCUGAACAGGGCGAUAAAUCAGUGUUUAUAGACCCGAACCCUGGUGAUCUAACCAUGUCCAGGAUGAAGCUUGGGUAACACCAAGUGGAGGUCCGAACCGACUGAUGUUGAAAAAUCAGCGGAUGAGGUGUGGUUAGGGGUGAAAUACCAAUCGAACCAGGAGCUAGCUGGUUCUCCCCGAAAUGUGUUGAGGCGCAGCGGUAAUGGUUAAAUUUGGGGGGUAAAGCACUGUUUCGGUGCGGGCUGGGAGACCGGUACCAAAUCGAGACAAACUCAGAAUACCCAGAAGAAGACAUUGCCAGUGAGACAGUGGGGGAUAAGCUUCAUUGUCAAGAGGGAAACAGCCCAGACCACCAGCUAAGGUCCCCAAAUCAUCGCUAAGUGAUAAAGGAGGUGAGAUUGCCUAGACAACUAGGAGGUUUGCCUAGAAGCAGCCACCCUUGAAAGAGUGCGUAAUAGCUCACUAGUCAAGCGAUCUUGCGCCGAAAAUGAACGGGGCUAAGCGAUGUACCGAAGCUGUGGGAUUGAUAUUAAAUUAUUAAUCGGUAGGGGAGCGUUCCGUCGUAGGUUGAAGCAGUAGCGGCGAGCAGCUGUGGACGAAACGGAAGUGAGAAUGUCGGCUUGAGUAGCGCAAAUGUAUGUGAGAAUCAUACACCCCGAAACCCUAAGGGUUCCAGAGCCAGGUUCGUCCACUCUGGGUUAGUCGGGACCUAAGGCGAGGCCGAAGGGCGUAGUCGAUGGACAAAGUGUCAAUAGUCACUUACUGUUCUGUGGGAGCAUAGAGAGGGACGCAUCAAAGAUAGCCAUACCCUGAUUGGUUUGGGAGGAGUUUACGAACUCCGAGUGGUGAAGGAUAGUGCCAAGAAAAGCUCGCUAUGUGAUGAAGAUAGAACACCCGUACCCGAAACCGACACAGGUAGGGAGGUUGAGAAUACCAAGGGGCGCGAGAUAACUCUCUCUAAGGAACUCGGCAAAAUGGCCCCGUAACUUCGGGAGAAGGGGUGCCCACCUCAGACGUGGGUCGCAGUGAAGAGAUCCAGGCGACUGUUUACCAAAAACACAGGUCUCCGCCAACUCGCAAGAGGACGUAUGGGGGCUGACGCCUGCCCAGUGCCGGAAGGUUAAGGAAGCUGGUCAGCGAAAGUAAAG
rnacentral:rRNA from 1 species